rnacentral:rRNA from 1 species
AUAUUGGACAAUGGGCGCAAGCCUGAUCCAGCAAUGCCGCGUGAGUGAAGAGGGCCUUAGGGUUGUAAAGCUCUUUUAGUAGGGAAGAUAAUGACGGUACCUACAGAAAAAGCCCCGGCUAACUUCGUGCCAGCAGCCGCGGUAAUACGAAGGGGGCUAGCGUUACUCGGAAUUAUUGGGCGUAAAGAGUGCGUAGGCGGCUAAGUAAGUUAAAGGUGAAAUCCUUGGGCUCAACCCAAGAACUGCCUUUAAAACUGCUUAGCUAGAAUAUUAGAGGAGACAGUGGAAUUCCUAGUGUAGAGGUGAAAUUCGUAGAUAUUAGGAGGAACAUCAGUGGCGAAAGUGACUGUCUAUUUAAUUAUUGACGCUGUUGCACGAAAGCGUGGGGAGCAAACAGG